UUUUAGAGAGCAGAGAAGACCGGCUAGAGAGGAUAAAGAUUGGAAGAACAGAAACGACCGAUCCGAGAGUAGAAAUUCUGAUAAAUCAACUGAAAGACCUUGGAGAUCUGAGAAUAAUUUUCGUCAAUCAUUAUUAAAUUGGAGACUGGCGAAGAUGUAAGUGAUGUGUU